rnacentral:rRNA from 1 species
CAGUCAUACCAACUGGAAAUCAACCUUUUGAGCUUGGUUUCGUGGGUUUUGAAGAGUUUCAAAGCCUUCGGAUUCGCGAGAUUGGGAUCUCUCGGUGUACUUUCUCGUACGGUUAGUCAACAUCGGUUUUGAAUGUCAUAAAAUGACUGGAGGAAUGUAGCUUCGAUCUCGUAUUGAAGUGUUAUAGCCUUUGGUAGAUGUGAUGUUUGAGACCGAGGAUUGCAACGGAUACCCUUCAGGGCUAUUCGUCUGAUCUCUGAUACGUUGCCCUGAUGUUGAAAGCUUGCUUAUGAUGUUAGGGUAUUACGGUCAAAAGGUUAGAACGAAUUACA